GGGAGCGUAGCUCAGUCGGUAGAGCACCGGACUUUUAAUCCGUAGGUCCUGGGUUCGAGCCCCAGCGCUCCCA
rnacentral:tRNA from 2 species